GUCCACGCUGUAAACGAUGAACACUAGAUGUUGGAGGAUUUGACCCCCUUCAGUGUCGUAGCUAACGCGUUAAGUGUUCCGCCUGGGGAAGUACGGUCGCAAGACUAAACUCAAAGGAAUUGACGGGGGCCCGGCACAAGCGGUGGAUUAUGUGGUUUAAUUCGAAGCAACGCGCAGAACCUUACCUAGGCUUGAAAUCCUACGAAUCCGGCCCAAAAGCUGGAGUGCUCUUCGGAGAAUGUAGUGACAGGCGCUGCAUGGCUGUCGU
rnacentral:rRNA from 1 species